AUAGGUUGCACUUUGUAAAUGCAGCUGUUUCUCAAACACGCCUCUUUUGGGGAGAUCUUGAAUAUUCAUAGAAAAGUAAUUUUAUUUACAUACUGGUUCCCUGUUAUGCUCUCUGUGUUCCAUCUCACAGAGACAUAACUUGGGAAUGUUACCAGUAAAUAUACAUGUGCAUAUAGUUUAAAUUGAAAUCUGUGGUAACCUUUCAUUCGAGGUAGG
rnacentral:lncRNA from 1 species